CAAUUUAAAGAUUCCCUCCUAUUUUAAAAAAAAUCAAUAAGGCUACAUAUCUAGUAGGUUUCAAGUUGAUUACACCAAACAUUGCUUUAUAUAUAUACAUAUGAUAUGAUAUAUAUAGAUAUAUAGAUAAUUGGAGAAACAUUUUUGUGGUUUUCUAUAAGCUUUGAAUUUGGCUUCAUUAUAACAAUAAUUGCUAUGGUUCUUCAGGACUGAAACUCUGAGCUGGUUCAGCUAUCUCAUUUCCGUCUUUCCUGCAUACCUACCAUGAGAAUCCUAGAGACUGGUCAGUAUGACUCAACACUGAUGAACUACACACUUACAAUUCAGAGAUGAAAUCAAUUUUCCUCCCAUCUUUUGCAAGAGCUAACCUUUG
rnacentral:lncRNA from 1 species